rnacentral:rRNA from 1 species
UACGAAGGGGGCUAGCGUUGCUCGGAAUUACUGGGCGUAAAGCGCACGUAGGCGGCUUUCUAAGUCGGGGGUGAAAUCCUGGAGCUCAACUCCAGAACUGCCUUCGAUACUGGAGAGCUUGAGUCCGGGAGAGGUGAGUGGAACUGCGAGUGUAGAGGUGAAAUUCGUAGAUAUUCGCAAGAACACCAGUGGCGAAGGCGGCUCACUGGCCCGGUACUGACGCUGAGGUGCGAAAGCGUGGGGAGCAGACAGG